GGGGUUAAAGAAGGAAUACAGUUUUCAACAAUCUUAAGUCAAAUAUCCUCAAAUUCACUCUGCAAUCGGAUGUCAUCUAGCCAGUCCUGAAUUAAAGUUUUCUGAAAGCUGUCAUGGGCAAGCGAGGCCAUACGAGGCGACGGCCUGGUGCUCAUUGUUCCUGCUGGUUAUUCGCAUGGCCUAAUUAUGUGAGGAAAACAGAAUGAAGGAAAAUGGAUGGGAAGCAACACCGCUCGCGGCCGAGUUCUUAGAAAAGCAGAAGUUCGUCGUCCCUCCUCGCACGCACAGCGAGUGCUGGGAAGUGGCCUGCACCGUACCCUGAUUUGGGGGCCUCGCGGUUCGCCUCCCGACAGUGCCCCAGUCACCCGCUGCUUGGCCGGCUCUGCUGCUCGCGGAGCCCCUGCCCGUGCCGCACGCCCGGGGCCGCGAAAGCCAGAGCCGCU